GCCAGUCCUGCCUGAGCUGUCGGCGCGUGGCUGUUUCCUGUUUGCGGUUCUACAAUUAGUGGAAUACCUUCUGAAGAAGACAGUUUUAAAACUAUUGAAACCAUGGUCAAGGUUUAAUAAGCCUGUAUUUUGCAACUGCCUUGUUGGUAUUCGUAAUCCACUGAAGCUCUUGAAAGCAUACUUGCUGAAGAGCAGCCAUGUUCAAAGACACUCACAAGUGCAAGCAGAUGGGGCCAGCAAAUCGUCUGCAGCCGGCUGAAUGCUGAACUGCAGCAGAAUGAUGGCGUACGUGA